rnacentral:rRNA from 1 species
ACUCCUACGGGAGGCAGCAGUGGGGAAUAUUGCACAAUGGGGGAAACCCUGAUGCAGCCAUGCCGCGUGUAUGAAGAAGGCCUUCGGGUUGUAAAGUACUUUCAGUUGUGAGGAAGGCGUUGGAGUUAAUAGCUUCAGCGCUUGACGUUAGCAACAGAAGAAGCACCGGCUAACUCCGUGCCAGCAGCCGCGGUAAU